AAAACAAAGACGAACGCUGGCGGCGUGCCUAAUACAUGCAAGUCGAACGGUCUUUUCUAUGGAAGCUUGCUUCCGCUGAGAAGAUAGUGGCGAACGGGUGAGUAACACGUGGGUAACCUGCCCAUAAGAGGGGGAUAACAUCCGGAAACGGGUGCUAAUACCGCAUAGGUUUCUUGGUCGCAUGAUCGAGAAAGGAAAGACGGCCUUUGUGCUGUCGCUUAUGGAUGGACCCGCGGCGUAUUAGUUAGUUGGUGAGGUAAUGGCUCACCAAGACGAUGAUACGUAGCCGACCUGAGAGGGUGAUCGGCCACAUUGGGACUGAGACACGGCCCAAACUCCUACGGGAGGCAGCAGUAGGGAAUCUUCCGCAAUGGACGAAAGUCUGACGGAGCAACGCCGCGUGAGUGAAGAAGGUUUUCGGAUCGUAAAACUCUGUUGUCAGAGAAGAACAAGUCGGAAAGUAACUGUUCCGGCCUUGACGGUAUCUGACCAGAAAGCCACGGCUAACUACGUGCCAG
rnacentral:rRNA from 1 species